AUAUCAAUAAGCGGAGGAAAAGAAACUAACAAGGAUUCCCCUAGUAACGGCGAGUGAAGCGGGAAAAGCUCAAAUUUGAAAUCUGGCGGUCUACGGCCGUCCGAGUUGUAGUCUAGAGAGGUGUCUUCCGCGCCGGACCGUGUACAAGUCCCUUGGGAUAGGGCGUCAUAGAGGGUGAGAAUCCCGUCCAUGACACGGACAGCCGGUGCUCUGUGAUGCGCCUUCAAAGAGUCGAGUUGUUUGGGAAUGCAGCUCAAAAUGGGUGGUAAAUUCCAUCUAAAGCUAAAUACAGGCGAGAGACCGAUAGCGCACAAGUA
rnacentral:rRNA from 1 species